UACGUAGGGCCCAAGCGUUGUUCGGAUUUACUGGGCGUAAAGGGCGCGUAGGCGGCUUGACAAGUCACUUGUGAAAUCUCCGGGCUUAACUCGGAACGGCCAAGUGAAACUGUCAUGCUAGAGUGCAGAAGGGGCAAUCGGAAUUCUUGGUGUAGCGGUGAAAUGCGUAGAUAUCAAGAGGAACACCUGAGGUGAAGACGGGUUGCUGGGCUGACACUGACGCUGAGGCGCGAAAGCUAGGGGAGCGAACGGG
rnacentral:rRNA from 1 species